rnacentral:lncRNA from 1 species
CAACCAAGAUUCCAACUUACCAAUUCAUAUGCCCCUGGUACCUUUGACACAUUCAAAAAAGGUCCGUUCAUUGUAGAGUAAGUAAGUACUGAAGCAAAUGCCAAAAUGUUAAUACAAGGGGUCGAGUAACACCAUAUAAAUAAAACCAUGUGAUAGGAAAAAGUUUUUCGAGAAGUUGGAAAAAAGAAUCACUUGACUUGGACAUCAAAUGCGAAAUCUAAACAUGUUUAACAUUUUUACAAAGAAUCAAAAUAAAAAAGAAGAACACCAUGAACUGAACUAGAAGAGCAUAUGAACCCAACGCCGACAAGUGGGUCCCGCAUGUCAGUUGCACACCAGCCCAAAACUAUGUAUAAGAAUGUUGAAAAGCAAGAAGUGAAACAAAAUAACUAGUAACUCAAUGGUGUCUGCGACGGUGAUAUAAAUUAUUGUUCCAGGUUCGACCCCUUCCCUCCACCCUUUUUCCACUUAAUUUUUCUAGUUUUUUUUUACCGAAAAUUGGCUUGGCGCCGGCAUGCAACCAUUUACCACCUAAUAACCCGCCCAUUAUGCGAACAAAUCGAAUCUUAACCUCCCUACUUCCUCAUUAUCCUCCCCAUCUCCAAUUCUUUCCUUUCCCUCCUCCAACUCGGUUCCCACCGGUGGUUCCCGAUCUACACCCGC